AGAAGGAUAGGAUGUGCUAGCUAUUGGAUGCUAGUCUAAGCGUUUAGGGAGUUAGAAUAGGCAAAUCCGUUCUAACAAUUCUGAGGCGUGAUGGGGAAGGUUCUAAGGAACCGAAGUAUCUGAUUCCAUGCUUCCAAGAAAAGCAUCUAGAAAGAGAAAUAGUGCCCGUACCGCAAACCGACACAGGUAGGUGAGGAGAGAA
rnacentral:rRNA from 1 species